rnacentral:piRNA from 1 species
GAGGGGUGAACCGGCCCAGGUCG